GGAGAAAAGCAGGGGAUCGCAAGACCUUGCGCUAAAGGAGCGGCCGAUGUCUGAUUAGCUAGUUGGUGGGGUAAAGGCUUACCAAGGCAACGAUCAGUAGUUGGUCUGAGAGGACGGCCAACCACACUGGGACUGAGACACGGCCCAGACUCCUACGGGAGGCAGCAGUGGGGAAUUUUGGACAAUGGGCGAAAGCCUGAUCCAGCCAUGCCGCGUGAGUGAAGAAGGCCUUCGGGUUGUAAAGCUCUUUUAGCCGGAAAGAAAGAGUUGCAAUGAAUAAUUGUGAUUUAUGACGGUACCGACAGAAAAAGCACCGGCUAACUACGUGCCAGCAGCCGCGGUAAUACGUAGGGUGCGAGCGUUAAUCGGAAUUACUGGGCGUAAAGAGUGCGCAGGCGGUUUUGUAAGUCAGAUGUGAAAUCCCCGGGCUUAACCUGGGAAUUGCGUUUGAAACUACAAAGCUAG
rnacentral:rRNA from 1 species